rnacentral:rRNA from 1 species
CGGCGUGCCUUAUGCAUGCAAGUCGAACGAUUCUGAUUUAUCAGGAUAGUGGCAAACGGGUGAGUAACACGUAAGUAACCUGCCCUUAAGUGGGGAAUAACCCCGGGAAACCGGAGCUAAUACCGCAUGUGGUGUUGGAGGUAAUGCUUCAUCACUAAAGCCUUCGGGUGCUUGAGGAGGGGCUUGCGUUCGAUUAGCUAGUUGGCAGGGUAACGGUCUACCAAGGGCGACGAUCGAUAGCUGGUCUGAGAGGAUGGUCAGCCACACUGGGACUGAGACACGGCCCAGACUCCUACGGGAGGCAGCAGCAAG